rnacentral:rRNA from 1 species
AAUCAACGCUGGCGGCGUGCCUAACACAUGCAAGUCGAACGCGAGAGGGGCUUCGGCCCUGAUUGAGUGGCAAACGGGUGAGUAACGCGUGGGUGACCUACCUUCGAGUGGGGGAUAACGUUCCGAAAGGGACGCUAAUACCGCAUAACAUCCUGUCUUUGGACAGAUGGAGAUCAAAGCCGGGAUCGUAAGACCUGGCGCUUGAGGAGGGCCGCGUCCGAUUAGCUAGNGGUGGGGUAAUGGCCCACCAAGGCAACGAUCGGUAGCCGGCCUGAGAGGGCGGACGGCCACACUGGGACUGAGACACGGCCCAGACUCCUACGGGAGCAGCAGUGGGAAUUGCUCGCAAUGGGCGCAAGCCUGACGACGCAACGCCGCGUGAAGGAUGAAGGUC